AGUGAACGCUGGCGGUAGGCCUAACACAUGCAAGUCGAACGGCAGCACAGGAGAGCUUGCUCUCUGGGUGGCGAGUGGCGGACGGGUGAGGAAUACAUCGGAAUCUACUUUUUCGUGGGGGAUAACGUAGGGAAACUUACGCUAAUACCGCAUACGACCUACGGGUGAAAGCAGGGGACCUUCGGGCCUUGCGCGAUUGAAUGAGCCGAUGUCGGAUUAGCUAGUUGGCGGGGUAAAGGCCCACCAAGGCGACGAUCCGUAGCUGGUCUGAGAGGAUGAUCAGCCACACGGGAACUGAGACACGGUGCAGACUCCUACGGGAGGCAGCAGUGGGGAAUAUUGGACAAUGGGCGCAAGCCUGAUCCAGCCAUACCGCGUGGGUGAAGAAGGCCUUCGGGUUGUAAAGCCCUUUUGUUGGGAAAGAAAUCCAGCUGGCUAAUACCCGGUUGGGAUGACGGUACCCAAAGAAUAAGCACCGGCUAACUUCGUGCCAGCCGCCGCAGUAA
rnacentral:rRNA from 1 species